UGCUGCUUUUCACUAAAGCAAUGCCCAACACAUUCCCUAAGUGAGGCCCAUUCCUUGGUAGCCCACUGACAGGAGGCCUGCCGGAAAAGGACAUCUUGGUCAUUGGUGACCCACUGCUUUCUUCUCUUCUCACAGAGUGAUCUUCCAUGGCCAUGUCAGCAGGUCUGUCAACUUCAGAGAUGGCAAGUAGAUGUGACAUUGAUGGAAAGCUGUCCUGGUGGAUGCUCAUUACUGCUGGAGAUGCUGAGGGAUUUUUCAGCAAGUGAGAGCAAAGAUGGGCAUGGCCAUACGGAGACUUAGAAGCUAACAGGGAAGAAGGCUGAGACUUUUGUGGAAGGUAAACACCUAUUAACUCAUUCACUGACAAUUCUGUUACAUUACUUUAUUGUGCUUAAGCUAUUUUACAUAUUUUGAAGACUACCUAUUAUAGCAACUAGCCUACCCUAAUUCAUACUAGUACAUUUCAUUGGUUAGUAGUGAUCUUGUAGGAAUAUGGAGUCAUUGCUUGACUUCCCCC